rnacentral:rRNA from 1 species
CUACGCACUCCUACGGGAGGCAGCAGUGGGGAAUAUUGCACAAUGGGCGCGAAGCCUGAUGCAGCCAUGCCGCGUGUAUGAAGAAGGCCUUCGGGUUGUAAAGUACUUUCAGCAGUGAGGAAGGUGGGUAUGUUAAUAGCAUACUCAUUUGACGUUAGCUGCAGAAGAAGCACCGGCUAACUCCGUGCCAGCAGCCGCGGUAAUACGGAGGGUGCGAGCGUUAAUCGGAAUUACUGGGCGUAAAGCGCAUGCAGGUGGUUUGUUAAGUCAGAUGUGAAAGCCCGGGGCUCAACCUCGGAAUUGCAUUUGAAACUGGCAAACUAGAGUACUGUAGAGGGGGUAGAAUUUCAGGUGUAGCGGUGAAAUGCGUAGAGAUCUGAAGGAAUACCGGUGGCGAAGGCGGCCCCCUGGACAGAUACUGACACUCAGAUGCGAAAGCGUGGGGAGCAAACAGGAUUAGAUACCCUGGUAG